CUGGCCGUUUGGCCCGUGGUGGCAGUUAUGAUGACAGUUUGCUAAGAUGAAAAAGCAGUGUGGGCCGAGGGCUGUCUGUGUUCUUUUGCUGACUGAGCACUAAAAUAUGCCUUUAGGCAAUGCAUUCCAGGUAACACUGGACGUCAGGAGGAUACGACACGAAGGUAGAGUCGCCUCGUGUCUGCUUCUCCUCAGGUGUGUUUCAGUGUGCUCAAAGAAGCGAGAAGAGACUGCCCGAUCCCUCGGUCCUAGAGUUACAGUUAUUUUGAGUCACCAAAUGUCCUCUGGAAAAACAGCCUCAUCAGUUUAGAUGGAGGAAAAUUGGAAUAUGGUUGAGUUUACACAGCUCCAGUGUUCUGCACCAGAUAGAUCUAAACACCGUCUUCGGAAGCUUCUUUCGGCUAUGUAUUUGAAGGGAGAUGUAUGAAGGUGCUACACUAAGGAAAAUGUAAAGCCCACGGCAAGCUUAAAGACUUUAAACUGUGCACAGAAAGGCUCAAAAGCGCUCAACUGAAGCUGGAGUGUGUGUAUGUAAAGAGAAAACUUAACCUUAAGAGAAAUUAAGAAGUUAAGUACCUUCAAAAAGUCUUCAGAAACUCUAAGAGACUAUCAGAUAACCUAAAAACCACCCCUGUCUACUCUACUGCACUGGACAUCACAGAGCCAACUAAG